AUGAAUUCCAGAAAGCAGGAUUCUUAACCUCGUGGACAGCAAUCUGCAGAAGAAGAGAACUUCAGAAAACAAACUCGAAGCAACAUGCAGAGAAGUAAGAUGAGAGGGGUCUCCUCGGGAAAGAAGACCGCUGGUCCACAGCAGAAAAACCUUGAACCAGCUCUCCCAGGAAGAUGAGGGGGUCGCUCUGUAGAGAACUCCCUUCAGGAUCCAUGAGGAAGACCAGAAAGAACAAACAGAAGACUCCUGGAAACAGAGAUGGUGGCAGUACCAGCGAAGCACCUCAGCCCCCUCGGAAGAAAAGGGCCCGGGCAGACUGUUGAAAGUGAGGAGGCGUUUAAGAAUAGAAUGGAGGUUAAAGUGAAGAUUCCUGAAGAAUUAAAACUAUGGCUUAUUGAGGACUGGGACUUAGUAACCAGACAGAAGCAGCUGUUUCAACUCCCUGCUAAGAAAAAUGUAGAUGCAAUUCUGGAGGAGUAUGCAAAUUGCAAGAAGUCACAGGCAAAUGUUGAUAAUAAGGAAUAUGCAGUUAAUGAAGUUGUGGCAGGAAUAAAAGAAUAUUUCAAUGUGAUGUUGGGCACUCAGCUGCUCUACAAAUUUGAGAGGUCCCAGUAUCCUGAAAUCCUCUUGGCUCACCCUGAUGCUCCAAUGUCUCAGGUUUAUGGAGCCCCACACCUACUGAGAUUAUUUGUAAGAAUUGGAGCAAUGUUGGCCUAUACGCCCCUUGAUGAGAAAAGCCUUGCAUUAUUGUUGGGCUAUUUGCAUGAUUUCCUAAAAUAUCUGGCAAAGAAUUCUGCAUCUCUCUUUACUGCCAGUGAUUACAAAGUGGCUUCUGCUGAGUACCACCUCAAAGCCCUGUGAGCGUCUAUAGACAGCUCACCAUUUUUGUCCUGUAUCUGUAAACACUUUUUGUUCUUAGUCUUUUUCUUGUAAAAUUGAUGUUCUUUAAAAUCGUUAAUGUAUAACAGCGCUUAUGUUUCAGUUUUUUUUCUGUUCUGUUUUAAACAGAAAAUAAAAGGAGCAUAAGCUCCUUUUCUCAUUUCAAAGUUGCUACCAGUGUAUGCAGUAAUUAGAACAAAGAAGAAACAGUAGAACAUUUUAUUGCCUAGUUGACAACAUUGCUUGAAUGCUGGUGGUUCCUAUCCCUUUGACACUACACAAUUUUCUAAUAUGUAUUAAUGCUAUGUGACAAAACGCCCUGAUUCCUAGUGCCAAAGGUUCAACUUAAUGUAUAUACCUGAAAACCCAUGCAUUUGUGCUCUUUUUUUUUAUGGUGCUUGAAGUAAAACAGCCCAUCCUCUGCAAGUCCAUGUAUGUUGUUCUUAAGCAUUCUAUCUUUGCUCAAAUUGUUGAAGGAUGGUGAUUUGUUUCAUGGUUUUUGUGUUUGAGACUAAUGCACGUUCUAACAUGAUAGAGGCAAUGCAUUAUUGUGUAGCCACGGUUUUCUGGAAAGGUUGAUAUUUUAGAAAUUGUAUUUCAGAUCUUAAAUAAAAUUUGUUUCUAAAU